rnacentral:tRNA from 10 species
GCACGGUUAGCUCAGGGGUAGAGCACUGCCUUCACACGGCAGGGGUCACUGGUUCGAAACCAGUAUCGUGCACCA